rfam:Parvimonas micra strain KCOM 1535, complete genome.
AUGCACUAGGCGGGGUGUUAGCAGUACCUUGUAACCUGUAAUCUGCUAUAGCAGGGCUGAAUUCCCAAGUUAGAUUUUCAAGGGGUGUAGCCGACUUUUGUAAGUGGUGUUGACGAGUGGGUCCUUACGCAAUAGAGCUUUACGAAUCUGGUCAGGUCUUGACGGAAGCAGCCAUAAGUAAAAUACUCUAUGUGCCGUAAGAUUGCUUGCUUUGAGCUAACUGCAAGGGCAUCGUGCAUUUCUUGUUAAGCGACCUUGGGUGUGCUU